rnacentral:rRNA from 1 species
CCUACGGGUGGCAGCAGUGAGGAAUAUUGGUCAAUGGCCGUAAGGCUGAACCAGCCAAGUCGCGUGAAGGAAGAAGGAUCUAUGGUUUGUAAACUUCUUUUAUAGGGGAAUAAAGGUAUCCACGUGUGGAUAUUUGCAUGUACCCUAUGAAUAAGCAUCGGCUAACUCCGUGCCAGCAGCCGCGGUAAUACGGAGGAUGCGAGCGUUAUCCGGAUUUAUUGGGUUUAAAGGGUGCGUAGGUUGUUUUUUAAGUCAGCAGUGAAAGUUUGUGGCUCAACCAUAAAAUUGCCGUUGAAACUGGAGGCCUUGAGUGGGCGAGAAGAAGGCGGAAUGCGUGGUGUAGCGGUGAAAUGCAUAGAUAUCACGCAGAACCCCGAUUGCGAAGGCAGCCUUCCGGCGCCCUACUGACGCUGAGGCACGAAAGUGCGGGGAUCGAACAGGAUUAGAUACCCUAGUAGUC